GAUGAACGCUGGCGGCGUGCCUAAUACAUGCAAGUCGAGCGAAUGGAUUAAGAGCUUGCUCUUAUGAAGUUAGCGGCGGACGGGUGAGUAACACGUGGGUAACCUGCCCAUAAGACUGGGAUAACUCCGGGAGACCGGGGCUAAUACCGGAUAACAUUUUGAACCGCAUGGUUCGAAAUUGAAAGGCGGCUUCGGCUGUCACUUAUGGGUGGACCCGCGUCGCAUUAGCUAGUUGGUGAGGUAACGGCUCACCAAGGCAACGAUGCGUAGCCGACCGGAGAGGGUGAUCGGCCACACUGGGACUGAGACACGGCCCAGACUCCUACGGGAGGCAGCAGUAGGGAAUCUUCCGCAAUGGACGAAAGUCUGACGGAGCAACGCCGCGUGAGUGAUGAAGGCUUUCGGGUCGUAAAACUCUGUUGUUAGGGAAGAACAAGUGCUAGUUGAAUAAGCUGGCACCUUGACGGUACCUAACCAGAAAGCCACGGCUAACUACGUGCCAGCCGCCGCGGUAA
rnacentral:rRNA from 1 species